rnacentral:misc_RNA from 1 species
CAUGGCAAGCAUCCAUCAUUUCUAGCUUUCUACUACUUUUCAAUGUAAUUAAUCACACGGCCAUUGUGCUCGCCCUUCUAUCUUUUGCUCUUUCUCCCUUUGUCUUUCCCGCUCGCCCUUCUGCACUCACCGAGCUGAUAACGCGUUAUCGUAAUCCAAGGGUGAGUCCACGUCGAACGCGCCCACGUAUAAAUACACGUCGAUAGUAUCACGGAAGUUCACUUGCCACGAUCGAUCGACCUUUCGUUCCUGGAAGUUGUUCGCUCUCUCUAGCGCACGCCCCCUAUAAAUUUAUUUCGAUGCGAAACGCGCGGGCCUCCUAUUGCCAGCCGACUAAAUGGCCGUCGGAUAACGGACACUCGAGGAGCGCGUGUAUCGCGAGCCUUUGCCAUGGCCCGAGAUACCAAAGCUUUUUCGCCGUCGAUCGCAUAGUACGCUCCAACGAUUCGAGCCGCGGAAUUCUCUCGCAAACGUCGAUAGAAGGGAUUGAUCUGCAAAGUGGUCUGCGUGAAAUUUCACGAUAGGGGUUCGUUUCUGAUUUUAUUAUUCCAAGCCUGGUAAA